AAGUGCACAGAUGGUAACAGCAUAAGAUAAAGUCUUUAUUUAUCGAGGGUUCACAACUCUAAUUAAAAGUAUCGUGGCUACGAAGACACGAAGAGUAAAAGUAUACAGCUGACGUUAUCUUCGUCAUUUAUUCUUCAUUUUGUGAUAGUAUUUCGGAUGAGAUGAUCAGGUCAAGAACGUCUGCACUUCACCCAACCCAAAAUCUCUUCUCAACAAAGCUUUAAAUUCGUAUACCUUUCCUUUUUUGUGUUAGGUAGGAUACAUUUUACAAGUAUUUAUAAAUUCAAUUAAGUUGUUAUCUAUUCUAGUUCAAGCAACAACUGAAAGUGCGACCACCUCGCCGAAAAAUGCUUUGCUUUCUUCUCCGCCUUCAGGAAUUCGCAGAGAGUGGCUCCUGCUGAUCGUGAUUUUAUCAGCCAGUAUCGGUGUGCUGUUCGUGUUAUGUGUUUGGUUUGUCGUGAAGAAAAAGAAGGCGUCUGCACUGUACACCAAAACGCGCAAUUCCAUUGCCUUGGAUCUAGCCGGUGGUUACUGAAGUAUCCAAAGUCUCGUUGUAGCUUAACUCCCUUUUAUGAGUAAGAUAAUAUAGAAAAAAGAGAAAACACUUAUAAAUAAAAUUUCUAAACUUCUGUCAUUUUGUGAGUUCAGGGCAAGUUGUGCGAUCACUAAUAGCCAUAAGGCGUGUAAUAUCUUAAGUCAUAUAAAACCAAAUUUAAGUCCAAAUCUUUGGUUUACAUUGCUUAGUCCGGAAGGGAUGUUUUGGUUUGGCUCGGUUGUUAAACGUUACCACGCAUCGAUUUCAUCGUGUUGAGCAAGCCCCCUUAAGCUGGAUUAUAUAAUAGUUACCCAGUUUUCGCCGAACUUGAGGCAUUUUUCCGCAAGAUUUAGGAGGAUUCAAAGCUGAAAUCGCAUUUAUUUAAACGGCGCGCGCUGGCGCUUUCCACAAAUUUCAACUUGAUUUUGACUUUUGCAACGCGAAUUUUCAUUGGCUCAUCUGUUGUCAGGUGCGCGUUUUGAUUGGCUUGUAGAAAAGAUGAUUGUCCAGAGCGUGUAUUGAGAAAAUUUAUUUGGAUCAAUAAGUAAAUAAACACAAUUUCUCUUCA